CCUACGGGAGGCAGCAGUGGGGAAUAUUGGGCAAUGGAGGAAACUCUGACCCAGCGACGCCGCGUGCGGGAUGAAGGCCUUCGGGUUGUAAACCGCUUUCAGCAGGGAAGAAGCGAAAGUGACGGUACCUGCAGAAGAAGCACCGGCUAACUAUGUGCCAGCAGCCGCGGUAAUACAUAGGGUGCAAGCGUUGUCCGGAAUUAUUGGGCGUAAAGAGCUCGUAGGUGGUUCGUCACGUCGGAUGUGAAAAUCUGGGGCUUAACCCCAGACCUGCAUUCGAUACGGGCGAGCUUGAGUAUGGUAGGGGAGUCUGGAAUUCCUGGUGUAGCGGUGGAAUGCGCAGAUAUCAGGAGGAACACCAAUGGCGAAGGCAGGACUCUGGGCCAUUACUGACACUGAGGAGCGAAAGCGUGGGGAGCGAACAGGAUUAGAUACCCUGGUAGUCCACGCCGUAAACGGUGGGCACUAGUUGUGGGGACCUUCCACGGUCUCUGCGACGCNGCUACGCAUAGUGCCGCCGUCGGGAGGUACGAGUCGCGAAGAAUUAAACUAACAAGUAGAAGUUAGACGGCGUGAGACGUGCCGACGGACGACGACGAGGGAGGUUAGG
rnacentral:rRNA from 1 species